GGCGCUGAGUCGAAUGGUCUUGGUCCGAAGUCUCUACGACGAAGCGUUCUUGAGAUAUUUCACUUUGAAAUUGCAAAAACGGGGGCCGCGCCCUGACGUCAUGCGGCCAUUUGGUUACAUCAUCACGGGCUGCCUACGUCAUUGUGGCAAAGUCGUUUCUCUUCGCCAGUCUACAAGCACUAAUUUUAGUUGGUAUUUCAAGGGAAGAUGGGCGAUUCCGAACAAUCCUCUGUCCCCAGCAAUGAAGGCAGCGAUGCUGAGGCCAGUGAGGACGACCAACAGCCCACCGCCGCGUAUGGUUGGGGCAGGGAGCCCAGAUACUCUGCUGAGGAGCUGCCAUCGCGUGUAACAAAUGUGGAGGAAGAAGAUGCGUCAGCAGCUGCGUCCGACAGAAGACGAGUAGCUUGGCCACCAGAAUCUCGAUUCGUUUGGUACUCCGACUGGUGCGAGCGUGGACAAAAGUGUAUAGCCAUGCCCAGCCCGCGGGAAUGAUUUUGCUGGUAGGAUGCUGCCGUCGCUGUCGACAAGACGGCCCAAGGUUUCUUGCGUAGCGGACCUCGCAGAUUACGAGAUCGUAUCCUUGCAUUAGGCUGUGCUCAUCACUGCUCUUCGAGGUUAUCUCGACAUGCAGAAGCCGCCAAUGCCAGUGACAGAAGAGUCUGACAUUAGAUCUCUACGCUAUGCGGCACACAGGCAGUACACACUAUGUACACGGCAAAUUGGGCAAGCACGUUCGUUGUCGUCUUCCAGCCUGCGUUGUGAAUACCAUCAGGCAAAGAUAUCCAAAUCCUGCACCACCUCAGCCUUCUCAGGAGGCUUCCACCUGGAAUUUGGCAGGGAAACACGCUUCUCCAAGGCAGGAACAUGGAAGUUGCCAUUUGCAACCGCUACCACCUCACACAUGAGCUUGUCAACAUACUCAUAGCUCUUUCUGUCGUAUAAUUUUCUAUUUGGCCACAGUCUUCUUUAUGCUUUGAGAACUGGACUUUAUACCUUCC